GGGAUUCCCCUAGUAACUGCGAGUGAAGCGGGAUGAGCUCAAAUUUAAAAUCUGGCAGCUCUGCUGUCCGAGUUGUAAUCUGUAGAAGCAUUUUCUGCAUUGGACUGUGUACAAGUCUCUUGGAAUAGAGCAUCAUAGAGGGUGAGAAUCCCGUCCAUGACACAGACUACCAAUGCUAUGUGAUAUGCUCUCAAAGAGUCGAGUUGUUUGGGAAUGCAGCUCAAAAUGGGUGGUAAAUUCCAUCUAAAGCUAAAUACAGGCGAGAGACCGAUAGCGAACAAGUACCGUGAGGGAAAGAUGAAAAGCACUUUGGAAAGAGAGUUAAACAGUAUGUGAAAUUGUUGAAAGGGAAACACUUGAAGUCAGUCACAUUCUGCAGGACUCAGCCUUGCCUAUUAGGCCUGGUGUAUUUCCUGUAGGAUGGGUCAACAUCAAUCUUGGUCAAUGGAUAAAGGAUGAGGGAAUGUGGCACCUUUGCAGGUGUGUUAUAGCCCUUUUUCAUAUACAUUGGCUGGGAUUGAGGACUGCAGCAUGCCCAUUUUGUGGCCAGGACAUUUCAUGUUACAUGCUUAGGAUGUUGACAAAAUGGCUUUAAGUGACCCGUCUUGAAACACGGACCAAGGAGUCUAACAUGCCUGCAAGUGUUUNGGGUGGAAAACCCUUGCGCAUAAUGAAAGUGAAAGGUUAGGAACCUUCAUAAGGAGGUGCACUAACGCCCGGCCCUGAUGUUUACUGACGGUGCUGAGGUAGAGCAUGUAUGUUGGGACCCGAAAGAUGGUGAACUAUGCCUGAAUAGGGUGAAGCCAGAGGAAACUCUGGUGGAGGCUCGUAGCGAUUCUGACGUGCAAAUCGAUCGUCAAAUUUGGGUAUAGGGGCGAAAGAC
rnacentral:rRNA from 1 species